rnacentral:rRNA from 1 species
GACGAACGCUGGCGGCGUGCUUAACACAUGCAAGUCGAACGCUGAAGCUUGGGUGCUUGCAUCUGGGUGGAUGAGUGGCGAACGGGUGAGUAAUACGUGAGUAACCUGCCCUUGACUCAGGGAUAAGCCUGGGGAACUGGGUCUAAUACUGGAUACUACAUUCUCUCGCAUGGGGGUGUGUGGAAAGGGUUUUACUGGUUUUGGAUGGGCUCACGGCCUAUCAGCUUGUUGGUGGGGUAAUGGCCUACCAAGGCGACGACGGGUAGCCGGCCUGAGAGGGUGACCGGCCACACUGGGACUGAGACACGGCCCAGACUCCUACGGGAGGCAGCAGUGGGGAAUAUUGCACAAUGGGCGAAAGCCUGAUGCAGCGACGCCGCGUGAGGGAUGACGGCCUUCGGGUUGUAAACCUCUUUCAGCACGGAAGAAGCGAAAGUGACGGUACGUGCAGAAGAAGCGCCGGCUAACUACGUGCCAGCAGCCGCGGUAAAAC